UGGGGAAUUUUCCGCAAUGGGCGCAAGCCUGACGGAGCAAUACCGCGUGAGGGAGGAAGGCUCUUGGGUCGUAAACCUCUUUUCUCAGGGAAGAACACAAUGACGGUACCUGAGGAAUCAGCAUCGGCUAACUCCGUGCCAGCAGCCGCGGUAAUACGGAGGAUGCAAGCGUUAUCCGGAAUGAUUGGGCGUAAAGCGUCCGUAGGUGGUUUUGUAAGUCUGUGGUUAAAGCGUGUAGCUCAACUACAUAAGGGCCAUGGAAACUACAUAACUUGAGUGAAGUAGGGGUAGAGGGAAUUCCCAGUGUAGCGGUGAAAUGCGUAGAGAUUGGGAAGAACACCGGUGGCGAAAGCGCUCUACUGGACUUAUACUGACACUGAGGGACGAAAGCUAGGGGAGCGAAAGGGAUUAGAUACCCCUGUAGUC
rnacentral:rRNA from 1 species